GAUGAACGUUGGCGGCGUGCCUAAUACAUGCAAGUCGUAACGAAGACUGUAGUAAUACUGUCUUAGUGGCGAACGGGUGAGUAACGCGUGGGUGACCUGCCCCGAAGUGUGGGAUAACAGUCCGAAAGGAUUGCUAAUACCUGCAUAAUAUCCAAGAGAUUAGAUGCUUUUGGAUUAAAGGAGUAAUUCGCUUCGGGAGGGGCCCGCGUCCCAUCAGCUAGUUGGUAAGGUAAUGGCUUACCAAGGCGAUGACGGGUAGGGGACCUGAGAGGGUGGCCCCCCACAAUGGAACUGAAACACGGUCCAUACACCUACGGGAGGCAGCAGUGGGGAAUAUUGCACAAUGGGCGAAAGCCUGAUGCAGCAACGCCGCGUGAGCGAAGAAGGCCUUUGGGUCGUAAAGCUCUGUCGGGUAGGAAGAUAAUGACGGUACUACCCGAGGAAGCCCCGGCUAACUACGUG
rnacentral:rRNA from 1 species